rnacentral:misc_RNA from 1 species
AAGUCGUAACAAGGUUUCCGUAGGUGAACCUGCGGAAGGAUCAUUAACACGUACCCAAACGUUAAAACCCCCCCCUGUGAACCUUCAUCCUGCUUUUGUAACCCGCGUAGUUCGCAAUCUCGGAUAAAUCAUAGCCCGGAAAGUUGUAGUGAUUCAGAGACCUCUGGCUACGUGCGAACAUUGGAACAGUUACAAUCGAGCGGUAGUUCUAUAGGCAAUGUUUCUAGCGCUUCUACGAUUCCUGUAGACCGUACACUCGGGAAGGAGCUUUGCCAAAGGGUCCCCAUGCCUCCUAAUAACCCCACAGUUUAAUGUGAAGCUCAAUGUAAUACAUUGGGUAAAAAAACCGAACAACUGUUAACAAUGGAUAUCUUGGUUCUC